rnacentral:lncRNA from 1 species
UCAAUUUUUUAUGAAAAUCUUAUAAUUAUGAAUGCAUAAAUGGCAGGCUGAUAACAAGGUGAUGAAGAGAGACUAAAUAAAGGAGGAGGUGGUAAGACUUUGGUGCCAAUCACAGUGGGCCACCACAGCAACACUAGAAAGCAUAGUCAUUUCAUUAUUUAGUGCUAUUUCAGUGUUCUUUUCUUGUCAGUUGCAAUGUCUAAAAGCCUGGACUAGCUUCACUAUGUCCUUUGUGAACAAGCCUGCUAAAAAGGAACAACAGUUUACAAAGUGAACCUAGUCAGUCUCUUGCUGAAUCAGUUGAUGAUCAUGAGUCUCAGUCUACUCUUGUGGUUGAUACAGCUACAGUUUUUACAGCUACAGUUGAUGUACAGUCAAUUGUUGCUCAUUCUCCAUCACCCUAUUCUUCUACUUCCUCUACUAAUACUACUACUAGUACUAUUACCACUACAGAAGUCAGUGUUGGAGCUACACCACCCACUA